UGGCUAGCACUGGGUAACAGGUUCUGAGCCACAGCUGCCACUGGAAUGAAUGAGAGGAGCUCUUGCUCUCACUUAGUCUUCACACUAGUACUCACUCAGUCAGACUAUAAGAUUAUUGAAUGUGAGGAUUACACUUGUGUCAAUCGUAUCAUCUCAUUAAUUUGGCCGGCAGUGAGAGAUCAGGCAUUGCAAUGACUUCUGGUGAAAGAUUAAAGGAAGGAGCCAGAAUUAACAAGUCUUUGCAAACAUGUAUAUACAUGUACACUGGAUAAAGUCAUCACUGCUAUGAGAGAAAUCAACUGGAAUAAGAAUGAUGGUUUACAUACCUACUUU